GCUCCUUGGUCAAGCGGUUAAGACACCGCCCUUUCACGGCGGUAACACGGGUUCGAGUCCCGUAGGAG
rnacentral:tRNA from 2 species